rnacentral:rRNA from 1 species
UACGUAGGGACCAAGCGUUGUUCGGAUUUACUGGGCGUAAAGGGCGCGUAGGCGGCGUGACAAGUCACUUGUGAAAUCUCUGAGCUUAACUCAGAACGGCCAAGUGAAACUGUUGUGCUAGAGUGCAGAAGGGGCAAUCGGAAUUCUUGGUGUAGCGGUGAAAUGCGUAGAUAUCAAGAGGAACACCUGAGGUGAAGACGGGUUGCUGGGCUGACACUGACGCUGAUGCGCGAAAGCUAGGGGGAGCGAACGGG